CCUACGGGGGGCUGCAGUGGGGAAUAUUGCACAAUGGGCGCAAGCCUGAUGCAGCCACGCCGCGUGUGUGAAGAAGGCCUUCGGGUUGUAAAGCACUUUCAGCGGGGAGGAAGGCGGUGAGGUUAAUAACCUCAUCGAUUGACGUUACCCGCAGAAGAAGCACCGGCUAACUCCGUGCCAGCAGCCGCGGUAAUACGGAGGGUGCAAGCGUUAAUCGGAAUUACUGGGCGUAAAGCGCACGCAGGCGGUCUGUCAAGUCGGAUGUGAAAUCCCCGGGCUCAACCUGGGAACUGCAUUCGAAACUGGCAGGCUAGAGUCUUGGAGAGGGGGGUAGAAUUCCAGGUGUAGCGGUGAAAUGCGUAGAGAUCUGGAGGAAUACCGGUGGCGAAGGCGGCCCCCUGGACAAAGACUGACGCUCAGGUGCGAAAGCGUGGGGAGCAAACAGGAUUAGAUACCCGGGUAGUC
rnacentral:rRNA from 1 species